rnacentral:rRNA from 1 species
UACGUAGGUGGCAAGCGUUUGUCCGGAUUUAUUGGGUUUAAAGGGUGCGUAGGCGGCCUAUUAAGUCAGUGGUGAAAUAUCUCAGCUCAACUGAGAGUGUGCCAAUGAUACUGAUGGGCUUGAGUACAGAUGAGGUAGGCGGAAUUGACGGUGUAGCGGUGAAAUGCUUAGAUAUCGUCAAGAACACCUAUAGCGAAGGCAGCUUACUAGGCUGUAACUGACGCUGAGGCACGAAAGUGUGGGGAUCAAACAGG